rnacentral:rRNA from 1 species
CCUACGGGAUGCAGCAGUGAGGAAUAUUGGUCAAUGGACGAGAGUCUGAACCAGCCAAGUAGCGUGAAGGAUGACUGCCCUAUGGGUUGUAAACUUCUUUUAUAUGGGAAUAAAAUGUUCCACGUGUGGGAUUUUGUAUGUACCAUAUGAAUAAGGAUCGGCUAACUCCGUGCCAGCAGCCGCGGUAAUACGGAGGAUCCGAGCGUUAUCCGGAUUUAUUGGGUUUAAAGGGAGCGUAGGUGGGUUGUUAAGUCAGUUGUGAAAGUUUAUGGCUCAACCGUAAAAUUGCAGUUGAAACUGGUAGUCUAGAGUACGGGAGAGGUAGGCGGAAUUCGUGGUGUAGGGGUAAAAUGCGUAGAGAUCACGAAGAACACUGAUUGCGAAGGCGGCCUGCUGGAACAUAACUGACGCUGAUGCGCGAAAGCGUGGGGAGCAAACAGGAUUAGAUACCCCGGUAGUC